GCUCAUAGUGCCCACAGCGCCCACAGCGCCCACCCGAUGAGCGCCGGCCGUUCGCGGAAGAGGUUUCUCUGCUUGUUUUAUUCGCUGCUGGCAGAAAGCUGUUCUCAGAGCUGUGGGGUCGGUAAAUAUCAGCGUUGAGCAGCUGUGACUGUCGUAGGGUUGGAACAGCUUUAGCACGGGGGAAGGAAUGACACCCCGAAAGUCUGCUGCGCCCUGAAAAAAUGGCCACGUGCAAAACUGUUCCCAAACGGGAACAGAUUGGGGCGAGAAACGGAUUGGGGAGAGGAAGCUGCUGUUCUCCGCCUGGCAGGCAUUGCUGCGGUGCCUCUGCUCUGUGCUGGGCACGGUUACUUCGGAGCCAAACUGAUGGCAGUGUUUGCAGCGUUUCCAUCGGCUGAUCGCACUGCAAUCUUGUGAAUACGUAAAAGCCCCGAGAGUUAAAACUGCCAUUUGUCACAGUUGGUCUGCCGCUGCCAAAAGCUCUUAACGCGGCAGCAAACGGCACGGCUUCUCCCCGGAGCAUCCCUCAAAGUACGUCCGUCACUCUGCCGGUUACGUAUUUUCAGUGUAACGUUAUUUAAGGAUGCCAGGUCGAGCUGAGGGGUACAAAUGAUUGCAGCUCUUUCUGAAGAGGCAGCCCGUGGCUGCAGCUGAUGACAUCAUUGCUUUUUUCUUUCUUUCUUUCUUUUUUUUUCUUUAGGUUUGUACUGCAUCAUCCAUGAGUCACAGCCCUCGGGAGAAUGCGUUUCAGUGCAAGCAUCCGAAAUAACAGUUCUGAGUUCAUUAUUAGGUGUUAUUCAGUAGUAAUUCAGAGACAGUCGGAGUUCCCAAGUAGCUGUGAUCUAAAUAAGCUUCAAGGAAAAAGCAGCAUCAACAAGAUGUGUGAUAAGCUUCAUGUUGUGUGACAAAAAGCAAUUACGCUAUCCAAGAAAAGAUUUUAAAAGCAUCUAAGAUAGUCAGUUUGUUUUUGAUUUUGUUUUUUUGUCAAUUGCGUAUUUCUGAAUUGUUUAAAAUCAAGAGUAUCUGAGAGUAAUAACCUCCUCUGUUUCACAUUGAAGUGUUAGUUACCAGAUGUCCUUGAUUCAUCUUGGCAGUCCCAUGUGCUUUUCAUCAUUUGUCCAAUUGCAAAGGAUGCUGCUUAAAAUGAAAUAGAGUAGAACUUUGUACUCGGGAUACUUUGUCAAGUUUUGGCACCGUGGUCAUGUUAGUAUCGUUUGGUUUUGGUAUUAAGUCAAGAACUUAUGGCCUUAAGCCAUGCCAACAUUUGUUUCUGGGCAGGAAGGUGAAAACCCAUUCUUAUUAACCUGCAAUGUGGAACAUAUGGUGACUGUGGGUGGUAGGGCUAAGUUAGGCAGCCAGGAACCUGCUCUCACUUCGCUAUGCAGAGACAGCAGGGAGGGCAAUUGCCACAGAAGGUGGCCAGAGCGCUCUGUGCUGCUGUCCAGAAAAGGAAGCUCUACAUGCAACGUGUUAUCAAGUAACGCUCUAAGCGGUGGGAGGUGUGCUUGGUACUCUUAGAGAAUGCUUUUAGUGUUUAGUAACUCUGGAAGCUAAAAUUAGAAUGCUUGCCUGCACUCUGGGUUGCUGGGGAGCGGCAGCGUGAAUGGUUCCUAUGUGCUGAGGUCAGGUGAAUGGAAGAAACUCACAAUUCAUAAAGUUUUGAGGCUGAAAUCAUUGGUUUACAACUUACUGUCAAAAGAUAAGGCUUGCACCUGACCUGAAAAGGAAACGCGUGUGUUUGUAUUCUGCUUUGCUUCACCGUGUUGUGUUUUAAGGUUUUACAGUCCCAUGUUAGGAAAACAUUGUUUUAUUUUUGUCUUGAAAAUGCAUCUUCCUCUUUCUUGUUAUACUGGGGAGAAAUAAGCAGGAUUUAAGCAGGCCUCGGGGAGGUGACCUGAAUAGUAUGGAGUGCAAGGAGAAGUGCUUUUUAAUUCUGUGUAACCUUUGGAAGUAAUUCUUCUGCACUGACAAGCAGGGGAAAAAAAAGACGAGUUGUUGAAAAGCAUUUGACAAUAAUAUACCUGUGUUGUAUGUUCUGAUACUGUACAAAGGAGUAUAAUGGGAAAACCUAAUGGUGAAUAAAUUGCAGUCAAAGGUGAUCUCUUAAAAAUGCAGGGCUUCUGUAGCAAACCAGAGGUAAAUUUAGAAGCUAUAUUCUGUUGUGCUGGUCAGAUGAAACCAUCAGAAAUGCAUGUAUUUCAAAGCCUUUGCUCUCAUUUCGAAGGCAGUUCUAUUGUGGAAUUGCUGCAGUGUUGUAUAUGGGAUAAUAUAUGAAAUUAUACUUGUAAUAUGCUGCUGAAAGAGCUUAAAGUUCUGUGUGUUCAUAUGAUCAAUAUCUGUCACCUUGUGAAUGUGAAUACAAGCCUGCAUUCUUGUUAUAGCUCUUAAAACUCAAUGAUGUUAUUAUUAUUCAAUUUCACUGAAAUAAUUUCCAUUGUUUAAGAGUAACAACAGUGAGAAUUUUGAAGGAAUACAGUGAGAAGGCUCUCGUUAACAAGCUUCAUCAAGCUCUAAUUGAUUUUCUUAGCUUCAGCCUUUGUGCCCUUGCAGUUUGAAAUAGCACAUUAUCUUCAGUCACCACAACUGUGCUGGAACCUUCACCAUAGAAUGACUGAACAGUUAUAAAUUAACAGUUAUUCUAUUCAGAUGUUCCUAUGAACCAAAGUCUCUCUCCCUCUCAUGGUUUUUGGGGCCAAGCCAGCAUUUUAAGUUUAUUAUUCAUUGACUAUUUUGAGAUAACCACGUUCAUUGCAAAAUACAGGAUUUCAGGCCCAAAUCCCACUUCCAGCUAUCACGGAAAUUUCCAGUCCCGUUCCAAAGGAAAAUUCCAUUUUCAGUAUUCCACUCAUACCCUUGCUUAGGAAAGGGGUUCCUUUGCAUAGCAAUAAUGAGAAACGGGAUAUUGGUCUGUGCCUGUUCAGCUAGACUUGGAAAUCUGUUGGAGAAAAAUAUGUGGAAAAAAGAACAACUGAAAAGCUGGGCCUUUGGAAGUGGUGGGACGUGCGUGGAACAAUCUCAGAGCAGACAUAGCGAGAUACAGCACGACAUACCUCGUGUCCCAUUAACAGAGGUCAUUUGUUGCAUCAUAAAAUCUUUGACUGACUGGUUGAAGUGUGCCUGUAGAUCAGUGCCCAGGGAUUUACCUCAGCAAAACACGGCUGACCACGUAACAAUAAUGUGGUCUGGAUGUUGUCAAAUCAUGAGAUACCUUGCAGGCAGGAGCACACCACAGUCCAAUCACUUGUUAAGGUUGAUCCACUUCAGCUAUCAGUCACUCUUCAUUGUCAUAAUUUCCUUUUACUGCUAAAUGGAGCUGAAGGGUGCAGACCUCCUGGAUAUCAGCAAACAACAGACUUCACUGACGUUGCUGUGCCAGGCUCUUCCCCUAUACUUUCCAUUUUUGUAGCAUACUUCAUCCGCGGCUGACGUCCAACAGCACCAUACUGUGUGAAUGUAGCACUGCUGGAAUUUCUAAGCCUGAAGCUCACUUUUGUUCAGCAGAGGCAAUAAAAAGACUGUAUGCCACUUAAAUCACGUUUACACCCUGUUCAGGGGGUUCACAGCAUGGUGUGCAUAUUCUGCCCUUUCAGGAUAGAGGUGAAGUUCAUCCUAAAAUGAAAACAAAGAGUAAGCCAGGCUCGUUAAGGUGCCUGGUGGGAUUUAAGGCUUACUUUAAAUGACUUAUCGACAUCUUACUGCAGAGUCACUUCUUGAUUCUGUAAUAUCCUUCUCCAGUCACAAGACUUUAAAUUUUACAGUCGUUUCUCUAGAAAUGCCUAUUAAAAAAGGGGAAAGAAAAGAAGAAAGAAAAAAUAUCACUGACUUCCAUGAGUUCCUCCAUGCAAUCACUGCUGUGGCCAUACAGGCAUUAUGUUUAUAACAUGUGUGCUCUAAAAGUACAGUUAAAAUCGGCAGGAUUCACAGACUUGAAAAUAGCUAUGCUAAUUUCCUUUGAACAGCCUCAAAUACUAUGCUUCAGUGAUAGGAGUUUGGGUUAACUAUACGAAGUGAAUGAAUGAAUGACUUUAAAGAGAGACAUUUAUGUAAUGCCUCCCAUAACAUUUUAUAGUCAAAUGUGCAGUGAGCCUGCAUAGUGAGAAAAGGUGUGACAAAUAAUGUUCCAAUCUCCUGCUGACUCUCUCUCACCGUAUAGGCAUAAUUUCUAUGCUAAGGAGACAACUUGUUCUCCAGCCCAAAACAUUUUAUUUUAGCAACAUGUAUAAUAAAAACGGAGUCACUAAGGAAAUGUAGUUGUAACUAUGUUGCUAAAAGUGCAGUGGUUCACACUAAAUAAAUUAGAGUAUUAGAAGUACACAAGUUGUGAAUGUAGAAGUCCAAAAUAAAGUCAUGUGCGAUACCACGCUGAGCAUGGACUCAAACAAUGUGCCUGCAGGCUGCGAACAAAACGCCCACCCCCAGUCAGAACUCUUACUGCGGCCCAUCGUUUCUGCUGUGUGUUCCUAUCUACAUUCCUUGAUAUUUUAUAUUUUCAACACCAUUUCUUCUCAUUGUUUGAAAAUGAAGUCUAAUUAUUUUUCUUAUCCUGAUGCUUCUCGAGCUCCAUUUAAAUCAGUGGCAAGGAUUUUUAAUUAGAAUAAACUAACAUUACUAGCUAUAAUUCUUGGAGUGUGACUGCAGGAAAAUAUGUAUUUUUCAAUGCAUCCUUUUGGUAUAUAAUCUGAUUUUAUACUGCUUAUGUAGUGAUUGAACGAUUGCUCUUAACACCAUGCAUUAAUUCUGUAGAUUGUUACAACUGUGUGGAGCUUAUUAGCUCUAAUAAAUAGAUUGGGCAUACUGUACAAAUACCCCUUGCUUGCAGGGAGCAAAAUGGUAGCUUACAAUUUAACAGUGGGUGCAUUUGUGGGUGAAAUUCAGAACUGGGAAGUGGGCCAGUUCCCAGUGAUUUCAUUUUUCAGUAUAGAGCAUCAAUGCAGAAAUCUUUCACUGGCGAAGGCAAGCCAACUUUCCUGACCCUAAUGGUCCAAAAUCGCUCUAUGGCUGGGAGCCACAAGACACUGAGUACGCAGCUUUGGGAGCCAGGGAGAGGGGAAGCCCAGGAGCAGGGAGCAGCUGGCACUGGUUCCCAGUCACAGGGAGGGCUGGUGUGGAGGAGGCCUGGGCAGGAUGCUUGGCAGCCCUGUGACGAUGCCAAAUUCAGCAGCCGGUGGCUCAUGUUCCCCUGCCAUGGGUGGCACUUGGAAUGGUUGGGAACCACAGGUUAAUUUCUCUAGUCCUCAUACUGUGAAGUACAAUUUCCCUUACGUAUUCUGUUGUAAUAUUUGUAUUACUGCAACGUAAGCACUCCAUUUAAUUUCCAUCUACGUACUCCGUUGUAGAGCAAAACAGCAUCAAACCAUAUGUUAAAGAUAUUUUGUAUAAAGUUACUAUAUGUUAAACCAAUAUAAUAUAAAUUGCUGUGCCUUUCUUAAUAAUUAUGGUCCCAAGCAUGAGGCAAUCACUUCUGAGAAGCUGGAACACAGUCACUUGUCCUUCCAGCUGACGAAUCUUCUCUUGUUCAGAAAAAGGGUGGAGAUAGAAAAGCAGGCAGUAAAGAUUUCAGCUUUGUCAUUAAUCCAUGAAGUGCCUUCGAAUAAAUCUCAUUCUAAAUUUAGUGACUAAAAGAACGGUGACUGAAAUUCAACAGAAAAAUAGGUGUUUCUCUCCAAGCUGUGUCUGACAUUUGGGUGAGCAGCUCAGCAUCCAUCCACUUUAGUCAACCAGUAACCAACUUUAAGGCGAAGCUGUUUGGCUGCAUAAGUUGAACCUUGGCUACAUCUUCUUGUCUUCCAUUCAGCUAUUUCCUCUCCAGGUUUUCUUAAUAAUAUUCUACACGGAAAUUGGUUGGAUUCUCAGUGUCUCAUAAUGGAAAAGGCACAGAACACAUGAAAUCAGGAAGAAAUAAAUUAUUUUCUGUAUCCAAACUGAAGAGUUUCAGGGUAGGAUUCUGGGCUUGAGAACUAUCUCCUAACCACAAUGUUUUCUUGUUGCCAGGCCUUGCGGUACAUACUGUGUUCUUGAUGUGGUGACAGACUAAGUUCCUACACCACGAGUAAAUGUCAACCCGACGAAAGUGAACAAUAUUAAACUCAGUGUGACAGUUAAAUCUGCCGCCUUUCAGAGCAGUGGAACUUUAGCAACAAACCAGAUGACCUAGUUUAGUUUUGAUUCAUUGCCACAAAGGAGCUAGAUCGAAUCUCACUUCUUGAGCAGUCGUAAAAUUCUCUUCUGCUGCUCACUGUUGUGCACCGACGCUCUGAAAUGCAGAAUUCCAGGCACAUGUAAGAAACACCAACUUGCCAUGGAAGAUUUAUUGAUCUAACAUUUGCUUGGCCAAAAGGAUCUGCCUUGGUGUAACGGGAUCAGCGUUCAGCUGGGGCUUCUGGAUGCUGCUCUACUACAAGCAAAACAAAAAGAACAGUCAGAUGAAAUGAACGCUUUUUAAAUAGAGAGUUUUGUGACUCAGAUUCAGCGCUGAAUUUUGUUUCAAGGCAACGUCAGUUUAGCAUUACUAAAUUAAAAAUUAAAGAUAGUGACUCCCACAACUUCAAUUUCCUAUUUACUCUUCUGGCUGAAUUUCCUCAGCUAUAACAUCAUCAAACUGUGCCAGAAAGGGGGUCAGAUAUGUGCGUGUGUACUGACAAACGCUUCUCACAACUGAAGAAAUUACCAUUUCGCACUGCGGUACCUUUUUUCUCCUCAAAUCAUCUUAUUGAUUUGUUUUGUUAAUAAAAAAGGACAGAUCCCUGCUGUUUUUUCAGUGGAUAAUCAUUCAUUUAGUUUAGAUUCUGAAGCUGCUAAUAUACUGCUGGUGUCUAAGAAGCCUGGGUCUCCUCUUUGUUAAAUGAAAGCCACAAACAAAGCACAUUCCAAUUACAGAAUUUUCAUUCUGAAAGCUUUGGUAAAAGAAUAUGGAAAGCUAAGGGCUGAACAGCAGUUUGGCUCAAGCUUGAGUAGAGAUAGAAUGUUCUCACUUACCAAAAUAGAAACAUAAAAUUGCAUUAAAUUUUUUGUCCUUCAA